rnacentral:pre_miRNA from 1 species
CAGUGUGUGAUGGGAAGGCAGUGUACUGUUAGCUGGUGUCAGUUUUUUCAACCAGCUAACAUGCAGCUGCUAUCCUACUGCACAAACU